AUUAAAACUAUUAAAACUUUAUAUUCAAUAAUGAUAUUAGACUGCAAUUCUGAAGGAAUAAUUUUUAAUUAUUAAAGUUU
rnacentral:tRNA from 1 species